GAACGCGUUGGCCCAAUUGAUUGAUGGUGCUUGCACCUGAUUGAUUUUGGUCGCCAACGAGUGGCGGACGGGUGAGUAACACGUAGGUAACCUGCCCAGAAGCGGGGGACAACAUUUGGAAACAGAUGCUAAUACCGCAUAACAACGUUGUUCGCAUGAACAACGCUUAAAAGAUGGCUUCUCGCUAUCACUUCUGGAUGGACCUGCGGUGCAUUAGCUUGUUGGUGGGGUAACGGCCUACCAAGGCGAUGAUGCAUAGCCGAGUUGAGAGACUGAUCGGCCACAAUGGGACUGAGACACGGCCCAUACUCCUACGGGAGGCAGCAGUAGGGAAUCUUCCACAAUGGGCGCAAGCCUGAUGGAGCAACACCGCGUGAGUGAAGAAGGGUUUCGGCUCGUAAAGCUCUGUUGUUAAAGAAGAACACGUAUGAGAGUAACUGUUCAUACGUUGACGGUAUUUAACCAGAAAGUCACGGCUAACUACGUGCCAGCAGCCGCGGUAAUACGUAGGUGGCAAGCGUUAUCCGGAUUUAUUGGGCGUAAAGAGAGUGCAGGCGGUUUUCUAAGUCUGAUGUGAAAGCCUUCGGCUUAACCGGAGAAGUGCAUCGGAAACUGGAUAACUUGAGUGCAGAAGAGGGUAGUGGAACUCCAUG
rnacentral:rRNA from 2 species